rnacentral:lncRNA from 1 species
GGGCUCCCGGACACAUGGGGAACUGCUGAGACUCAGACUGCACACAGCAGCACAACAGUGACAAAGCUGCCUUGGUUCUGCAACCAGGAGCACUAUCACAAUCCCAGCUCAGAGAUGAGAUGGGAGGUAAUAAGAUGCAGGUGGAGGCUUGAUAAGAGGGCACACCAUAAAUAGGGGCACAAGCAGCUUUAGUUCAGCUGUGUUAGGGCUAGCUCCUUGCCUCUGUUUGACUUUGCUCCUGGGUAUGGUGUGCAACUUGUUGCUGGUUCCAUGAGAGCUUCUCCAUGAUGCUCACACAGGGACACAAAGUGUGGGGGGUGGCUCCUGUCCUCCUGGCACCACGGUGCCCUGAUUACAAUUCCCUUCCUCAAGCAGGAUCAGAGCAGGGCUUUGGAGAGUCCUACGCAGAGAUCAUCAUCCAAGGACAUGUUAUCGAAGGUACCGUAGGAUGAGAGCUGGGAAAAGCAGAAGGGACAAAAUCCACACACUUGGUUCUCCAGCUGUUUCCAGUAUGUGGGCACCUGCACAAUUGGGUGAACCUAAGGGAAGUCCAGAUUUCUUUCCUCUGCUGGAAAGCAUGCUGUAGAUUUGCUCUUAGCCCCCUAUAAAGAAGGAGAUGCUGUUGUGGCUCUGGCUUUGCCCACCACUUAGCUUUGCAUGCACAUUGCUCUCAUUCCUGCCUUCUCUCCCAGGAAGCACAUAGGAAGUUAGAGGGCAUUGCAGGCAGCUUUCAGGGCUGUGCCUGUUAUUCAUGGUGCUGGGGUUUAAAGCUCUGCCCACACAAGACAGCUGGGCCAGCAGAGGAGCACAGGAGCCAUGGCAAUGGCAGCUCUUUGGGUGGUCUCCAU